GGUUCUAAACGCAGGCAGACGCUCUGGCAAUCUUCGUCAAACUCUGUGGUGGCGUUGGCGUCCCAGAGCUCCGGAGUUGCUUACUCUUCCUGUAAGGGCAAUCGGACCCUUUCCGGUGAGGGAACCUUUCUCCAGACAUGAUCAAUGAAACUGGCGAGGGACUGACAUGAUCUAGCUUACCUUCUUGGGUCACCGAACGGAUUGGAACUCAUGUGAGAAUAUAUCUCUGUUGUAUUCAAAAGGCAUGUGACAUAAUUAUCCCAGCGAUCACUAAAACUGUAAAUUUGGAUGCAAUUAAGAGAGAAAACUCCACACAUUUAUGGAAACUUAAGGGCUACCAGGGGUUCAUAUCCAUGAAACUAAGCAACCAUGCACUAAAACCUCUCAAAGCCUGAGCCAAGCAUUGAACUGGAGCUGGAACUAGAGCUUCAUGCCUAAAAUACUUCACUACCUUGCAAAAGGCUUAUGAUGGAUUCAUUACUCAAACAGUGAUCUUUAUGAUUAUUUAGCCUGCAUUACUAAAGUGUGAAUAUUUUCAAGUCUUCCACAGACCAGAGAUGCUGGAUGCCACUAGAGCUGGAGUUAAAGGAAGCUAUGACCUGCCAGAUGUGGGUACUGGGAACCACACUCAGGUCCUAUGCAAGAGAAGUAGGUACUCUUAACUCCUGACUCAUCUAUCCAGCCUUGAUCAUUCUUUUAUUUUUAUUUCAAUAGAUAUUGAAUAUGUAGUAUAUGCCAGACAGGAUGAUGAUAAAAAUUAAAAGGUGAGCAAAGUACAUGUGUUGUACACGACAAAAUAUUUGUAAGUUAAAAAAAAUACUGUAAAGUGUGGUAAGUGCUGUAAUUGAAGUAGAUUGUAUUAUAAGAGCAUGAAAACUAUUAAAUUUUGGAGAAGGGCAGAGAGUGCUUCCAAAAGAAUGUAAAAGGUAAGUAUAGGCUUGAAGUCUCGACAGAUGAGGAGGAGUUUACAACCGGAAGGUAAAUGCCAAACUUGAAAAGACAAUUCCAGACAAAAGGGGUCAACAGUUACAAAGGACUACAAGUCACAGCGAAUGUGGUAUUUUAGGAAAACUACACUUCGUUCAGAUCCUAAAUUUCCAGAUAGGCUAGCCAGAGUUAGGGAAAAAGGUGAUUCAGUCGUAGUUGAAGCAAUAUGUUCUAAGGUUUCAGUUUAUAGUCCUUUUUGUU